GUCCAUCUGUUAGCAAUAACAGGGAAGACUGAGUGGCGAACGGGUGAGUAACACGUGAGAAACCUGUCCCGGUCUCUGGGAUAACAGUCGGAAACAACUGCUAAUACCGGAUGACGUCGGAGCAUCGCAUGGUGCGCUGACGAAAGGGUUACUGGAUCGGGAGGGUCUCGCGGCCUAUCAGCUAGUUGGUGGGGUAACGGCCUACCAAGGCAUCGACGGGUAGCUGGUCUGAGAGGAUGAUCAGCCACACUGGGACUGAGACACGGCCCAGACUCCUACGGGAGGCAGCAGUGGGGAAUCUUGCGCAAUGGGCGAAAGCCUGACGCAGCAACGCCGCGUGCGGGAAGAAGGCCUUCGGG
rnacentral:rRNA from 1 species